UUUUUUGCUCAAGAAAAUUCCUAUUUCAGUUUAUGAAGAAAAUUAGCUGAGAAGAAUGGAAGGAACUCCAUAGGCAAUGGCGGGAUUCUUAUGUAGUCCACGGGCUUCUCUAUCUCCACUUCUAGCCAUACAAUUUAGACGUGGCCCCAGCCUCAAGUCAAUUGGUCCGAUUAAGCUUGGCAUACGGUGCUUCUCUAGUGGCCCUGAUAACAGUGCUGGUAAAUCCAACAAGACUCAGAUUAAAACGGAGACCCUUUAUGUUUUGAGAAUUGUGGUCAGUGGAGUCACGGAGCUUCUCAGGCUCCUCCCCUCCUCCCAACAAUCUUCCAGAGUGACCGAGAAACAAAUAGAUGAGUUUUCAGCUUCAAGUGUUGAUGAUGUACUCACCGUACUCAAAUCUGAUUAUCAGAAUGCUUAUUUUGUUACAGGGAUUUUUUCUUCUGCAAUUUAUGCUGAGGACUGUAUCUUUGAAGAUCCAACUAUUCGAUUUCGUGGUAAGGAGUUGUAUUCCCGCAACUUGAAAUUGCUUGUUCCUUUCUUUGACUCUCCAUCUAUUGGAUUGGAAAACAUUGAGAAGCUGUUUAUAGUCCAUACUAAAGCCUCAGUCAACAUUGCUGCUGUGCCACAAUGCAAGGUAGUCAUUGGUGAUGUUCCUCAGCCUUAGGAAAUGUGGAGACAUGAUAUCAAAGUUGUAGGCCACCUAAGUCAUUCUCGAAAGUGUAGGGCGCUUCAUCGAGUGUGGUGCAUGAUUGAGCAACAACGUCUCACAACGGCUGCUCAGGGCUUGUGCACCAGCAUGGCUGCAUGACCAAACUAACAAAUGUUCCACAAUAUGACUUAUGCAGCAGUUUUUUUUUCCUUUCUUUUUAAAACUUUAGUAGCAGAUUGUGGUUAAUGUCUUGCAAUGCUAAUCUCUGCAGGAUAUCUCCUCUGAAACAAAAUUUGUGGUGGCAAAGUGGAAAUUAAGGACCUACCUGAAGCUUCCAUGGAGGCCUCUUAUUAGCAUCAACGGAAGUACGGUCUAUGAAUUAGACGGCGAGUUUAAAAUUGUAAGGCAUGCUGAGAGUUGG